GACGAACGCUGGCGGCGUGCUUAACACAUGCCAGUCGAACGGUGAAGCGCUUUCCUUUUUGGUUGGUGUGGAUGAGUGGCGAACGGGUGAGUAACACGUGAGUAACCUGCCCCCUUCUUCUGGAUAACCGCAUGAAAGUGUGGCUAAUACGGGAUAUUCUGCGCCUGCUGCAUGGUGGGUGUGGGAAAGAUUGUGCCUUUGGGUGUUUUCGGUGGGGGAUGGGCUCGCGGCCUAUCAGCUUGUUGGUGGGGUGAUGGCCUACCAAGGCGGUGACGGGUAGCCGGCCGGAGAGGGUGGACGGUCACACUGGGACUGAGACACGGCCCAGACUCCUACGGGAGGCAGCAGUGGGGAAUAUUGCACAAUGGGCGCAAGCCUGAUGCAGCGACGCCGCGUGAGGGAGGGAGGCCUUCGGGUUGUGAACCUCUUUCGCCAGUGAAGCAGGCCUGCUCCUUGUGGGUGGGUUGACGGUAGCUGGAUAAGAAGCGCCGGCUAACUACGUG
rnacentral:rRNA from 1 species